rnacentral:sRNA from 1 species
AAUUACCAAUUAAACGUUCAAUUGUUUUAACCCACAAUAUUUUAACUUUUAAAAACAGGUUCCCCCGAUACCUGGAUCGUAACCCUAUUUCCAUAUAUUUUAACGUCUGUAAAUAUUUUAAAGGCGAUUCCAGUUAAAUUGUAAAAUAUAAAAAAAAAAUUUACCUGGGUGGAUUAAAAUUGAAAAUUUUUAUAAUACCAUUCCCAUUUAACGUAUAUGGCAGUUUAAUAAUAUAUAUCCAAUGGGCAUUUUUGCGUUAUAUAAUUUCGGUUUUCCUCGUUUUAUUUACCUUACCUAUUAAUAAGGCGCCAUUAUCGACGAAAAUUUGCAAAAUCUUUUGGUGGCCUCCUAAUAAAACGAUUUGGAAAGCGUUACCGUACCGGCCGCCCUAAAUAUUAACGUCGGCAUUUUUAUCAACCAAAAUUUGCACAAUCUUUUUGUGGCCUUUAAAUAAAACGGCUUGGAAAACGUUGCCGUAUUUGCCGCCCUGAAUAUUAACGUCCGCACCGUUAUUUAACAUUUUUUCCACAACGCAAAAUACGUUUCCCCCAGCCAUAUAAUAAAAUAAAGGAGUUAUAACCUUUUCAAAACUAUUAAAAUCUUUUUUAUCCCAUAAUUUGUCGGGACUGUAAAAGCCAAAACAAAUUUAAUAACAUUUUUCAUUUUAAACGAAUUCCCAAACAAAAUUUUCAAAUUCCUUGGCAUCUGGUCCAAUAUAACCAGCGUGGCCCAUCCAAUAUUGUGCAACGUAUUAUAUUAGGGGCUAAUUUUGUAAUUCCACCGUUGUAAGGUCGUGGUUAAGGUCCAGCAAAUAUACCAGGCAGACCUUCGCCAUAUAUUACCUAGCAAACCCCUUUUGAAAUUAUAGCGACAUUUUGCUUUCCAAUUGAUCCGAUAUAAGGUAUUUUUUUAUUAAGAAAUGCGCAAACUGUAAUUUUCUCUUUUUAUUUCCCCUUUUACCGUUUUUGGUAACGUUUUGGGCGCCGUUCGAAAAUUAAUAAAAUUAGGACAUUUUUCCAAAAAAUCGAGUUGGUACAAAACCCAUCGAAAUUUGCAUUCCAAUUUAGCAAUAGGUUUUUGGAAUAUUAGGUAAAGGUUUAUCCUUACAUUUUAUUGGCCUUUUAUAUUAAAUAAUUUUUAAUUUUUUGCUAAAUAUUUUUUCGCCUUUAUUAUCGUUUUAAUUUUUCGUAAUAUUUUACCCUUUUAUAAAUAUACGCGCAUAUAUUAUCGGCGACCAAUUCGUUUUAUAUAGGUAUUUGGUGGUCCACGAAUUUAUCCAAAAUUAAUUCGAUAUUUCGUUUUGGACAAUUCGUAAAUAAAACGUAAAUAUUUGCUCGUAAAACCGUUAAAAAGUCCUUAAUUUAAAACAGCAACCCUUUGUUUUUUAUACCUUUUUUUAUUUGGCAUUUGUCGAAUGCGUUUAAUAUAAUCCAAAUUUCGCUAAUGUGCUAAAUUAUUUUUUCCAAGGUUUCGUUUAACAAAUUAACGGUGGGUAUUCGCGACCCAUUUUCGUAAAAGAAGUAGAGCGAAUAUAAAUACCCCUGGUAAACGCUCGGGUUUUUCUGGUACAACUGGUAUAUAAACGACCGAAUCGCAUUUUCGAAUAAUUGUUUGCUGGUAUCGUUAAAAUUAAAAUAAAAAUAAAUAAAAUUGUCGGAAUAAAACCUGGUAUGGCGCAAAUUGUCGAUAAUGGUCCAAUUGAAAAUUAUUUUACCACAACCGGGGAUAUUAUAAAAUUAUAAAAAGAUUUUUGGCGUUGUUUUCCAUUGCAAAUAUUUUUCGCUUUUUAGGAACCACUGGUUUGUAUUUCCAUAACGUUAUUCCAAAGUUUUUUUGUCGUUUGUCGAUAUAUUUGGCGGGGCGAAUUAUUUAAUAAUUUCCUGAAAAUGCUAAUUUUGGUGCAAUUUAUUU